GGCUCAGUGGCCCAGUGGUAGAGCACUUGCCUAGCAUGCAUGAGGCACUGGAUUCAAUCUCCAGCACCA
rnacentral:tRNA from 1 species